rnacentral:misc_RNA from 1 species
UCCGGCUUAUCACCGGCAGUCUCUUUAGAGUGCCCAGCUUUACCUGAUGGCAACUAAAGACAAGGGUUGCGCUCGUUGCGGGACUUAACCCAACAUCUCACGACACGAGCUGACGACAGCCAUGCAGCACCUGUGUUUGAGCUCCCGAAGGCACCCCAUCCUCUCAGAUGGGUUCUCAACAUGUCAAGACCAGGUAAGGUUUUUCGCGUUGCAUCGAAUUAAACCACAUACUCCACCGCUUGUGCGGGCCCCCGUCAAUUUCUUUGAGUUUUAACCUUGCGGCCGUACUCCCCAGGCGGAGAACUUAACGCGUUUGCUUCGAUACGGAUUGAUUUAACUCAACCCUCAUCCAGUUCUCAUCGUUUACUGCGUGGACUAC